rnacentral:lncRNA from 1 species
UUUUUCAUGGAUGAAUUAUAUUCUACUGUAUGGAUAUAUGUGCUACAUUUUUAUCCAUUCAUCUAUUGAUGGAUGCUUCCAUAUGUUAGCUAUUGUAAAUAAUGCUACAAUGAACAUAGGGGUGCAGCUAUCUUUUCAAAUUUGUGCUUUUGUUUUCUUUGGGUAAAUACCCAAAGUAGAAUUGCUGAAUUUUAAGGUAGUUCUAUUUUUACCUUUUUGAGAAACCUCCAUACCUUUCCACAACGGCUACACCAGUCUGCAUUCCUACCAACAGUGCGUGAGGAUUCCCUUUUUCUCUACAUCCUCACCAAUACUUGUUAUUUCUUGUCUCUUUGAUAAUAGCCAUUCUAACAGUGUGAGGUUAUAUCUCAUUGUGGUUUUGAUUUGCAUUUUCCUGAUGAUAAGUGAUACUGAGCAUCUUUUCAUGUGUCAUUCGCCAUCUAUAUGUCUUGUUUGGAAAAAUGCUUAUUCAGGUCUUCUGCCCAUUUUAAAAUCAUUCCUUAAGAACGCAACUCUUCUUUUAAAAAAUAGCAGGAAAGAGUCUCUGACAUUUAAAUUUCCCUUCUCUAUAGAAAUUAAAGAGAGGCACCAUUCUGUAAUAAGAUGCAAAACUGAAAUAACAAAGGUUGAAUCUGGGCAGCCAGGGUGGCUCAGCAGUUUAGUGCUGCCUUCAGCCCAAGACAUGAUCCUGGAGCCCCGGGAUCAAGUCCCACGUUGGGCUCCUUCCAUGGAGCCUGCUUCUCCCUCUGCCUGUGUGUCUCCGCCUGUCUCUCUCUCUCUGUAUCCCUCAUGAAUAAAUAAAUAAAAUCUUAUUUUUUAAAAAAAGGUUGAAUCUUGUUCUUUCUGUGCAACUUGGAGAUCAGUGCACAUGUUUAUAACUGUUAUCAUCUUAUUGUCUUUUCUUAUAUAAAUUUGUCACUGGAAGAGUAAUUUGUACAAGAGAUCCUUGGAAGUCCUUUUAUCUGCACCCAUCAUUUUUUAUGACAUUGCUAUAAUCCCCAAAGGUAUAAACUGACAAGGUUUUUCAAACAAGAGGAUCAUUGGUGCUCCCCUCUUCUUCCUGCUGCAUGCAGAGAAUAAUGAGUCCUAUAGUUUCCCUUUUUAAAUCUAAGAGUUGAGGAAUCUUUGCUACUUUAAUCAAUUAGUGUGAUUCUAUUCUGCAGAUACAAUAAAAUCCUGUAUAUCUGCUAACAAAAAUGGGGAGAGGGGAGUGCACACCAAAAUAUUAAUAUUAUGUCUGUGUUUAGGACAUAAUAAAACCAACAUGCAUUGGUUUCCUCUACUCGCAUACUCAUAGUGCUUCUGACACUAAAUACGCAUUUAAAAAAAAAACACACAAACAAUUCUCUGACACCAGCUGGAUGCCCUAUAAUUCAAUUCAGCUCUAAGCUUUGACACUAUCUGCCUGGAGCUGGCAUCAAAUCCCAUAAAUUAAGAGCUCAGUCAAAGACUGCCACAUUUCAGAUACCAAUCACAAGUCCCAGGUUGUCACCUGUACUUCCAACCAAAUGGCUAUAAAUUGAGGUUCCCACAACCCCCUCCUCAGGUUCAAAAAUUCGCUAGAACAGCUCAUACAAGUCAGGGAAACACUUAAGUUUAUCAGUUUAUUAUACGUUAAGGGAUAUGAUAAAGUAUACAGCUGAACAGCCAAAUGAAGAGAUACAUAGGGCAAGGUCUAGAAGAGUUCCAAGUGCAGGAGCUUCUGAGGAGUUAUGGAAGUUCUCUAGAACCUGUACUUCAGAGAUUCUUAUGAAGGUUUCACCAUGUAGGCAAGAUUGCUUAUCAACUAAUUUUCCAGUCCCUCUCUCCUGCCCCUGCCCCAAGAACGGGAGCUAGAGCUGAAGGUUCAAGCUUCUAAUCAUGGUUUGGUCUUCCUAGUCACCAAGCGCCAUCCAAGAACCUGAGUCACCUCUUUAGAACAAAAGAUGCUCCUAUCAUCCAGGAAAGUCUAAGAGAUUUAGGAGCUCUGUGUCAGACACUCCUAUUACUCAGGAAAAUCACAAGGAUUUUAGGAGCUCUGUGUCAGGAACCCAGGUCAAAGACCAAAUAUUAGUAGGAACCAGGGGCAGAUAUAUAUAUAUAUACACACACACACACACACAUAUAUAUUAUCACACAGUCUAAUAGAGUUAUGGGUAACUUUUUUCUUUUUUUAAUUUUAACUUUUUCCAUCAAUUCUUUAGAUUAUUGAUUUUUUGGAGGAGAGGACAAGUCUGAACUAAUUCUACCUUCAGAAUUUAUUUUUUAUUUAUUUUUUUAAAAAAGAUUUAUUUAUUCAUGAGAGACACACAGAGAAAGAGAGAGAGAGGCAGAGACACAGGCAGAGGGAGAAGCAGGCUCCAUGCAGGGAGCCCAACAUGGGACUCCAUCCCGGGACUCCAGGAUCACGCCCUAGGCCAAAGGCAGGCACCAAACAGCUGAGCCACCCAAGGAUCCCCUAAUUCGACCUUCAGAACUUAAUAUGAAGAUUUUUACCAUAAUUUUACAAUAUUAAAACAGUUAUUCGUAGCAGAUACAUUUUGGCCAUUAAUAAAACCAAGAUCAAAAAGCAUCAUUAGUGGGGGAUCCCUGGGUAGCUCAGGCGGUUUGGCGCCUGCCUUUGGCCAAGGGCGCGAUCCUGGAGUCCCAGGUUCGAGUCCCACGUCGGGCUCCCGGCAUGGAGCCUGCUUCUCCCUCCUCCUGUGUCUCUGCCUCUUUCUCUCUCUCUCUCUAUCAUAAAUAAAAAUAAAUAAAUAAAUAAAUCUUAAAAAAAAAAAG